AAAAAUAUAGCUGAAGUGGAGCUUAUUGAGUUCCUUCAAUGGCCCCUUUAGAGAUUUGAGCUUCCUGCAAAGAGUACACAUGAGAGUGCCAUAGACAGAAAUAUACCAAUUUCUAGAGACAAUCUCCAUAAAGGUUCCUAAAAUCUUUGAUCAAACAAGAUGAGGCUAAAGAAAUUACUUAACGCAGAUCCAUUAUGUAGAAGCAUAAUUGACUCCACUCCGGAUUGACUAAAAAGAAGACAUGGGUCAACAGAAGUUCACACUGAUUUAGUCAGUGGAUUUUGACUCAAUGCUAAUGACCCUGUACAGUCAAGCAACCAAUUAAAUAGUUCCUUAAAAUUAUAAACAUCAAUUAAACUGUUGGCUUUAGAUUAAACCACCUCUUCCUACGAGCAUUCACUUCACUAUCAAUGUUGCUUGUCAUUGUCAUGUAGAAAUAAAACCUACCACUAACAAAUGGAAUGGAACUGUUUCGGGCAGACAAACUGUACUUGGUCUUAAAUUAAUAUGCUGUUUUUUGCGAAGUAUAUUUUCACAUCCAAGCUUGAUGAUAAAAAAAGAAAGAAAAAAAAAAGAGUAGCAAUGAAAUACUUUCCCAUGCUUCUAUUCUGCUCCUCUUUGUUGUUAAUCAUAGAAAGUUCCACUGCAAUUGAUACCAUAAAUACAACUCAGCUUGUUAGAGAAGGUGAUACCAUUGUUUCAGCAGGCGGAACCUAUGAAUUAGGUUUUUUCAGCCCAGGUAAAUCGAAAAACCGGUACUUGGGGAUAUGGUACAGCAAAAUAUCUGUGCAGACUGCAGUUUGGGUUGCCAACAGAGAAACUCCACUUAAUGACUCAUCAGGAGUAAUUUUAAGGCUUACCAACCAAGGAAUCCUUGUUCUUCUCAAUCGGAGUGGGAGCUUGAUAUGGUCUUCUAACAUAUCGAGACCUGCGAAGAAUCCAGUUGCACAGCUUUUGGAUUCAGGAAAUCUUGUUGUGAAAGAGGAGGGUGAUGAUAACUUGGAAAAUUCCUUGUGGCAGAGUUUUGAACAUCCAGGUGAUACGUUCAUGCCAGACAUGAAGCAAGGACGGAAUAGAAUAACAGGCAUGGACUGGUACAUGACAUCAUGGAAGUCACCUGAUGAUCCUUCCAGAGGUAAUAUUACAUAUAUACUUGUUCCUUAUGGAUAUCCUGAGAUUCUUGUGAUGGAGGAUUCGAGGGUGAAGUAUCGGUCUGGUCCAUGGAAUGGUAUGCGGUUCAGCGGGACGCCUCAUUUAAAACCAAAUCCCGUAUACACAUUUGGAUUUGUUUUUAACGACAAGGAGAUAUUUUACAGAUAUCAUCUUCUUAAUAGCUCUAAACUUUGGAGGGUCGUGGCAAGUCAGAAUGGUGAUAUCACGAACUUUGUUUGGGUUGAUAAAACACAAAGUUGGCUGCUUUAUGGCACAGCAAAUACAGAUAAUUGUGAACGCUAUUCACUAUGCGGUGCGAAUGGCAUCUGUAGUAUAAGCAACUCUCCAGUGUGUGAUUGCUUGAAUGGAUUUGUUCCAAAAAUUAAAAAAGACUGGGAUGCAAUGGAUUGGUCAAGUGGCUGUGUUAGAAAGAUUCCUCUAAAUUGCUCUGGAGAUGAGUUUCGAAAGCUGUCUGGUGCCAAGUUGCCUGAGACAAAAACAUCAUGGUUCAACAAGAGUAUGAAUCUUGAGGAGUGCAAGAGCACAUGCUUGAAGAAUUGCAGCUGCACCGCAUAUUCAAAUUUGGACAUCAGGGAUGGAGGAAGUGGGUGCUUGCUCUGGUUUGGUGACCUGAUUGAUAGUAGAAUUUUCAUUGAAAAUGAGCAAGACAUUUAUAUACGGAUGGCUGCAUCAGAACAAGGUAUGAAUUUAUCCUCAGACUAGAAAAGGCAGUAUCUAUUACUUAUCGAUUAUAGGAACUUGUAGUAUGUUAUAAAUUAAGAUUAUCUUCCAAAAUCAUGUUUAAAUAUUAAGCUAAGCAAAAGCUAAGAUGGGAAAUCAACUGCUUGAGAAGAAUAUGUCCCGCUGAGAGUGUUCUGUAAACAAGUAUACUUGUGUUACCCUGUGUAAAUAGCAUGAUAACUUAGCAUUCAUAGCUCAUUAUCGAAUUUGCAUAGAAGAUCUUGAAAUAUAAUAAAAUCAACGCCUAGACAUAUCACUUGGUAAUAUGAUGGAGGAUUACCUGACCAGAGCUAAUGUAAAUUUUCCAGCCAUGCUACCUAAUUAACGAAGACUAGGCCUUUUUUUGGCAUUUAAUUAGUCUUUUGAUUCCCCAUCUCUCUGCGAUUCUGUAGAUGAUGGUGAUGCUGCAAAGGUUAAUGCUAAAUCCAAUGUGAAGAGAAGGAUCAUGGUAAGCACUGCGUUGUCUACAGGAGUUCUGGUACUUAUCGUAGCAGUGGUCUUGUAUGUUUGGAAAAGGAAGCAGCAGAAAAACAGUAAGUUAUUCACACCAUAUGAAAGUCUAAGUUCUUCUAUCCCUCUCCUUCAAUUUCGAAAAACACAUUUUAGUUCGUUUUCCAAUUUGAUUUUAGCAAGCUAUGGUACAUCCACAAAAUAUUAAGAGCUCAUUAUCUUUUACGUCUUAAGUAAAUUUGAGUUUAACAGAAAUUAGUGAUCCCUUGUUUCUUUUCUAUUUCUACCAAUUCUGCUUGCAGGAAACAUAUCAGGUGGUUUGGGAAGAAGUUCAAAUUACAAGCACAAGAAAGAAGCUCUGGAAUUACCGGUGUUUGAUUUUGAUACCAUGGCUUUUGCAACCAGAAACUUUUCAGACGAAAAUAAACUGGGAGAAGGGGGCUUUGGACUUGUUUAUAAGGUACUAAUCUGAAAAAUGGCAAUGCUGUUUUUCGGCAUUAACUAGUUCUCCGGUAUUAAUUUCUUUGGAAAUAUUCAACCACUGGAUAGACCAUUUUUCAAGUGCAAAACAACAACCAUUUGGCAACUGUUCCAACAGACCACAGUAGUAUUCUCAAAAUUUUCAAGACAAUGUACGACCUAAUUUGCUUGUGAUAUUCACUGAUCAUUUUCAGGGGACUUUGAAAGAUGGACGAGAAAUGGCUGUGAAGAGGCUCUCUAAGAAUUCAAGACAAGGACUUGACGAGUUCAAAAAUGAAGUCAAGAAUAUUGUGAAGCUUCAGCACCGGAAUCUCGUGAAGCUUCUAGGAUGUUGCAUUGAAGGAGAGGAAAAGAUGUUGAUCUACGAGUUUUUGCCUAACAAAAGCUUGGACUUCUUUAUUUUCGGUUAGGAUUUCUCAACCUGCAAAAAUAUAGCUCAAUUAUUAUACUCGAUUGUUUUCAUUAUCCAAACACCAGAACCAACUCUAUGUAGUAUUAUAGAUCAAUUAGAACACAACUUUGAGGAGAAAGUGCGAACCAAAAGCACCAAAAACAAACAUUUGUUGAGUUUCAUUCAAGCCCCUUAGGAAAAUGGCUUGGUGAGGAAGAAUUUUCUCCACUUUCUCGGAGAGAAAUUAAGCGAGUGUUCAUUAUGCAUCAUGUUUUUUUCUUAUUCUUGUAUAUACAUUUAUGAAUUGAUAAAAACCAGAAUGGAUUGGCUUUGGUAAAAACAAUUGGGCAGAUGAAGCAAAAAGCUUACUUCUAGAUUGGCCUCAGCGCUGCCACAUUAUCAAUGGGAUUGCUUGUGGACUCCUUUACCUUCAUCAAGAUUCAAGAUUAAGAGUAAUUCAUAGAGAUCUGAAAGCCAGCAAUGUUUUAUUAGAUAACGAGAUGAAUCCAAAAAUUUCAGACUUUGGCCUGGCUAGAUGUUUUGGAGGAAAUGAAACUGAAGCCAACACAAACAAAGUGGCUGGUACAUAGUAAGUCUAUCAAGCAUCUCUAAUUUAUUUCUAUUGCCCACAAAUGCAAUCUAACACUAACAUUCUGUGUACGUACAGUGGCUACAUAUCCCCAGAGUACGCAAAUUAUGGACUCUACUCGCUAAAAUCUGAUGUCUUCAGCUUUGGUGUAUUGGUGCUAGAGAUAGUAAGUGGGUACAGGAACAGAGGAUUCUGCCACCCAGACCACCAACUCAACCUUCUUGGGCAUGUAAGUGUCAUAAUUGUUGCAUUUUCUUGUUUUCUGAAACCACAUUUCUUUGUUUCAAAUGACGUGGUUAAAUUUCAAAAAUCAGGCUUGGAGACUGUUUAAAGAAGGCAGGCAUGUGGAGCUGGUUGGGGGAUUAAUAUUUGAAACUUGCAAAUUAUCUGAAGUUCUACGGUCGAUUCACAUAGGUCUAUUAUGUGUGCAAGAAAAUGCAAAAGAUAGGCCGAACAUGUCACAGGUGGUUUUGAUGCUGGGUAAUGAAGAUGAAUUGCCUCAGCCUAAACAUCCAGGUUUUUUUACUGGAAGGGAUCUUAUUGAAGCAAGCCAUUCAUUAAGUCAGAACAAACCAUGUUCUGCAAACGGAUGCUCGGUCUCCCUGUUAGAGGCACGGUAGAUUUGUAUCUGCCAUGUAUUUGCAGAAACUUUUAGUUGCUUCUAGCUUCUUCUUCUUUUUAUCAGCAUAAAAAUAAUGUACUUUGUUCAAGCACAACUUUAUGCAUCAGCAAUGAAGCUCAAAAUUGUCAGACAUUUGGAUUAAGUGCACAGGAAAGUAAUUGAAGAAAGAGCAAAAAAAUUAUAAUACUCCUACUAGCGUACUAGGCAUGUACGUUAACAUCUAGAAAGCAAGGAGGGAGAUCUCAAAUGGAGUAAAAAACCAAAAAUUAUGCUUGCAUAUAUCUAAAGAGAAAAAUCACAUGCCACCACUGGAAAUGACAACAAUAAGAGGCAAACACAAAUUUCAAGAAUUGGAGCUUGAAGGUAUUUACCUUUAUAGUGGCACAUUUGUAGUCUGUAGAGUUAGCUUCAAUUCCUUUCUGGGUUCGCAUUAAGGAGCGUGUGUGCUGUGCCCAUUUGAGAGGCUAAAAUGGAUGCCUUGGUACUUAGUAUUUGCAUUGCAAAAUCUCUGCACGCCGUGACACCGUUUCUCGUUGAGGAUUUUCGUCGAACACUUGCUGAAUCAAAAUAGUGAUCAGACGCUUUCAAUGGGUUGGGUGGACAAAAUGUUAAGACCAAGAACAAGGUCCAAAAGGCAAGUAUAAGCGCUUAACGAGUGGUGCAAGACCUGGAAAGAGCCUGCAGUGAGAGGUUAGCAAUUGCAUCAUUAAAAAUUCAUCGAAUGGGUUUGUAGUGUCUGUUACCGAUGAGGUUUUUAAUUUGCCAUGCUGUUUUUCUUAUAUACAAUAACUAAUAAAUAGAACCAUGUAUUAUUAUUUUUUCUAUCAUUUGAUGAACUUAAAUAUCAAAUAGAAAUACAUAUUUACUCAUUUAAACAUACUUAUUCAAAAUAAUUAAUUUUAAACUAGAAUUAUUCAUUAAAUUUAUUUCAAAA
rnacentral:lncRNA from 1 species